rnacentral:rRNA from 1 species
UUGCCGGCGACCGGCGCACGGGUGAGUAACGCGUAUCCCCCUUUCCGCUUACUCGGGGAUAGCCUUUCGAAAGAAAGAUUAAUACCCGAUGGUAUCUUAAGCACGCAUGAGAUUAAGAUUAAAGAUUUAUCGGUAAGCGAUGGGGAUGCGUUCCAUUAGGCAGUUGGCGGGGUAACGGCCCACCAAACCUACGAUGGAUAGGGGUUCUGAGAGGAAGGUCCCCCACAUUGGAACUGAGACACGGUCCAAACUCCUACGGGAGGCAGCAGUGAGGAAUAUUGGUCAAUGGGCGAGAGCCUGAACCAGCCAAGUAGCGUGAAGGAUGACGGCCCUACGGGUUGUAAACUUCUUUUGUGCGGGAAUAAAGGAACCUACGUGUAGGUUUUUGCAUGUACCGUAACGAAUAAGCAUCGGCUAACUCCGUGCCAGCAGCCGCGGUAAUACGGAGGAUGCGAGCGUUAUCCGGAUUUAUUGGGUUUAAAGGGAGCAUAGACGGGUUUUUAAGUCAGCUGUGAAAGUUUGGGGCUCAACCUUAAAAUUGCAGUUGAAACUGGAGACCUUGAGUACGGUUGAGGCAGGCGGAAUUCGUGGUGUAGCGGUGAAAUGCUUAGAUAUCACGAAGAACUCCGAUUG